rnacentral:rRNA from 1 species
UUCCGAUUCUGGCUCAGAUUGAACGCUGGCGGGAUGCUUUACACAUGCAAGUCGAACGGCAGCACGGACUUCAGUCUGGUGGCGAGUAGCCCGAGCAGGUGAAGUAAUGUAUCGGAGACGUGCCUAAUGUGGGGGAUAACUACGCGGCGUAGCUAAUACCGCAUACUUCAAGGGGAAAGCGGGGGACCUUCGGGCCUCACUAUUGAGCAGCCGAUAUCGGAUUAGCUAGUUGGUGGGGUAACGGCUCACCAAGGCGACGAUCCGUAGUUUGAGGACGACCAACCACACUGGGACUGAGACACGGCCCAGACUCCUACGGGGAGGCAGCAGUGGGGGAAUUUUUGGACAAUGGGGGAAACCCACAAUCCAGCCAUCCCGCGUGUGCGAUGAAGGCCGCUGGAGUUGUAAAGCACUUUUGGCAGGAAAGAAGCGGCCUGGGUAAUACCCGUGCAACUGACCAGUACCUGCGGGGGAAUGGCACCGGCUAACUGGUUCAGCAACCGCGGUAAUACGUAGGUGCAAAGCGUUAAUCCCGGAAUUACUGGGCGUAAAGCGUGCGCAGGCGGUUCGGAAGAAAAGAUGUGAAAUCCCAGAGCUUAACUUUGAACAUUUAACUACCGAGCUAGGUGUGUCAGAGGGAGGUGGAAUUCCCACGCGUGUGGCAGUGAAAUGCGUAGAUAUGCGGAGGAACACCGAUGGCAGGCAGCCUCCUGGGAUAACACUGACGCUCAUGCACGAAAGCGUAGAGGAGCAAACGGUUAGAUACCCUGAGCGUCACGCCUAAACGAUGUCAACUAGCUGUUGUUCAGACAUGGACCAAAGCGCAGCUAACGCGUGAAGUUGACCGCCUGGGAAAUACGGUCGCAAGAUUAAAACUCAAAGUUGACAGGGACCACACCAAGCGGUGGAUGAUGUGGAUUAAUUCGAUGCAACGCGAAAAACCUUACCUACCCUUGACAUGUCUGGAAUCGAAGAGAUUUGGAGUGCUCGCAAGAGGAGCCGGAACACAGGUGCUGCAUGGCUGUCGUCAGCUCGUGUCGUGGAUGUUGGGUUAAGUCCUGGCAGGCGCAACCCUUGUCAUUGAAUUUAUACGAAAGGAGCCUCUAAUGCGGACUGCGAGUGACAAACCGGAGGAAGGUGGGGAUGACGUCAAGUCCUCAUGGCCCUUAUGGGUAGGCUUCCACACGUCAUGCAAUGGUCAGACAGAGGGUCGCCAACCCGCGAGGGGGAGCCAAUCCCGAAGCCCGAUCGUAGUCCGGAUAUGAUCUGCAACUCGACUGCGUGAAGUCGGAAUCGCUAGUAAUCGCGGAUCAGCGUAUCGCGGUGAAUACGUUCUCCAGGUCUUGUACUGCCCGUCACACCAUGGGAGUAGGUUUUGCAGAAGUAGUUAGCCUAACCGUAAGGAGGCGAUUACCACGGUAAGUUCAUGACUGGGGUGAAGUCAUGCUGGAGUAGCUCUGUUUCUGCAGUCAUCCAGA